ACAGCCUGAAAAUUAUCUUUGGCAUUUGUUGCCUUGGAUAAGAUAAUUGUGCAGACAGUAAUUAGGUACAUUUUUGCUUAUUGCCAACUCCAUUUUGUUGUACAAUGAAACCAAUGUGCCAACACUA
ensembl:snoRNA